rnacentral:lncRNA from 1 species
UCUUCUUCUUCUUCUUCAUCUUGCUAAGAUCUAAUAGGCUGCUCCAUCUAUGGGUGAAAGUAGUGAAGAACAAAUGCUUCACGCUCCAUGCUUGAUCACACAAUAUGAUAGCUACACAAAAGCACGGGAAGAUAGCUGCGUGAUCAUGAAAGGACAUGAUGAUGAUGGUGAUGAUGACGAUAAUGGGUAUGCGUACGACACCACAUCAUCCAUAUCGGUUUCCGAUCGAUCGACAUCUUCUUUGGAGUUGGUAGAUGAUGCAUCUUCAUCAACAACAACAUCAUCAUCAUCAUGUUCUUCUUCCUUCAAUUCUCAUGGAUCUUUGCAUGACUUGUCAGAUCUCAUGGCCCAGCUACCCAUCAAGUAAGAUUAAAGAAAAAAGUAAACUCAUCUCAAUUCAUUAUUUCUAAUUUUAUAUAUCAACCUGAUACUUUUAGCUAGAUGUUGCAUAUAAUUAUGUAUUUUGGAAUCUACAG